AUCUAUUAGUCUUGACCAAAUCAUGUGCCAGCCGUCGCGGUAAGACAUGGAAGACGAGCGCUAUUCAUCUUUAACAGGUUUAAAGGGUACUUAGACAGUUAAUUAAGCCUACAUAAGGGACUGACUAACUAGAGUUUAAUAGGAAAAGGAUAGAACGGCAUGUGGAGAGAUAAAAUAUUUUGAUACUUGCUAAAAUCUGACAACGGCGAAGGCAACCUUUUAUGUAAAAACUGACGUUAAAGGACGAAGGCUAUAAAUAAAGAAUAGGAUUAGAUACCCUAGUAUUCGUAGCAGUAAAUGAUGAGUGUCAUAGGUAAGUAAUAGCUUACGUAUAAAUGAAAGUGUAAACAUUCCACCUUAAGAGUAAAAUGGCAACAUAGGAACUGAAAUCAUUAGACCGUUUCUGAAACCAGUAGUGAAGUAUGUUAGUUAAAUUGAUGAUCCACAAAGAACCUUACCACAAUUUGAAUGUAAAUUCACAGGAGUUGCACGGCUGUCUUCAGUUGAUAUCGUGAGAUUUUGGUUAGCUCCAUUUAAUCAA
rnacentral:rRNA from 1 species